rnacentral:rRNA from 1 species
CCUACGGGGGGCAGCAGUGGGGAAUAUUGGACAAUGGGGGCAACCCUGAUCCAGCCAUGCCGCGUGUGUGAAGAAGGCCCUCGGGUUGUAAAGCACUUUCAGUGAGGAAGAACGCCUGGUGGUUAAUACCCAUCAGGAAAGACAUCACUCACAGAAGAAGCACCGGCUAACUCCGUGCCAGCAGCCGCGGUAAUACGGAGGGUGCGAGCGUUAAUCGGAAUUACUGGGCGUAAAGCGCGCGUAGGUGGCUGGAUAAGCCGGUUGUGAAAGCCCCGGGCUCAACCUGGGAACGGCAUCCGGAACUGUCAAGCUAGAGUGCAGGAGAGGAAGGUAGAAUUCCCGGUGUAGCGGUGAAAUGCGUAGAGAUCGGGAGGAAUACCAGUGGCGAAGGCGGCCUUCUGGACUGACACUGACACUGAGGUGCGAAAGCGUGGGUAGCAAACAGGAUUAGAUACCCGGGUAGUC